rnacentral:lncRNA from 1 species
GUGGCCCGCGGGGCAGCCGGCGAGGUCCCGGAGCACGGUCAGGUCUGCUAGCGAGCAGCGCGGUUCGGGUGUCAGCUGCAAGCGGAGGUGGCCGCGCCCACACAGCCGCUUCCCCGCCACCGAUGUCUCUUAGUUGCCACUUUGCAAGGCGCAGUGGAGGUGAAGAUGCUGAUGAACAUAAGGUCUGGUGCUUGAAAGAAUUGGUGAAGCUCUUCAAGGAGAUGAGAAUUGAACUCAGGACCUUGUGUUUGCCAGGCAGGCGCUUAUGCCCCUGA